UACGUAGGGUGCGAGCGUUGUCCGGAAUUACUGGGCGUAAAGAGCUCGUAGGCGGCUUGUCGCGUUGUUCGUGAAAAUUUACCGCUCAACGGUGAACUUGCGGGCGAUACGGGCAGGCUAGAGUACUGCAGGGGAGACUGGAAUUCCUGGUGUAGCGGUGAAAAUGCGCAGAUAUUAGGAAGAACACCGGUGGCGAAGGCGGCCCACUGGAUCGGUACUGAGC
rnacentral:rRNA from 1 species